rnacentral:lncRNA from 1 species
UAACUCCUGACCUCAAGUGAUCCGCCCACCUCGGCCUCCCAAAGUGCUGGGAUUACAGGCAUGAGCCACCGCUCCGGGCCCUUGCACAUAUUUUUUUAUGAACACACAGGCAGCAGCACUUUGAUUACAGUAACUUACAUGGAAGUUAUUUUAAAAUGGCUUUCCCCUUCUCUUUUUCAUGUAGGCUGCAUUUUUCAUCUGCAGCACGCUUUCUCUCAAGAAUCUCAAGCACACACAAGAAACCAGAGAGUAAAAUCACUGAGGCGUGAACACAUCCAGAGACCAAGGGCGUCACUGGCAGAAAAGCUUUUAGGCGGAUCCACGGCCCGAGAGCCACCCUGCCCAGAGACGCGGUUUCCUAGGAGCAGUUCACACGCGGCUCUGCAGCACCCACAAGCGGGGCCAGGGGCUGGUUUUCAUAGUUCACAGUCUGCAGGGAUCUUAACAAAAACAUGGCCGUGGUAAAAGUGCCUAGACCAGGCUUUCGUCACAACUCAGUGAGUAGGAAGACUAGUUAGGCUGAUGAAAAGCUCUGAUGAUGUGUGAUUAAAAGUAGGAAAACGUGGUUGCCAAAUAAAAUAUUUUACUAUAUAGUCAGGGGGAGAGAUGGGGAUAAAAAAAUGUGGAAACCAUUUAUUUUAAAAUUUUGACUGUUCCUGCAGUGUUUAAAAUAUAGGAGAUAUAUUCUGAUUAUCUUUAGAAAGAAACUGCUCUCAAUCUAUUUGUAUGUCUUCCCUCUGGUUUUAAAAUAUUAAACAAUCAUCUAACUCAAUAUUUAAUUUUACCUCUAGUCAUGUUACUAGGUUAGGAUAAUAAAAAGGACUGUGAACUUCACAUCUGCCAUCUAUAAUAGAUUCUUAUUGUAGCAAUCUUGCACCAAGGGGAUUUCUUUAUUAACUCUGCCAAAUUUUCCAAAAUUACCAAAUGGAGAAAAGAGCUGGUCCCAUCUGUCACCAGGCACAACCAGGAAGUGUCAGAAGACUUUCAGAAGCACAUGCAGUUGCAGCUCCAGUGUUUCAACAGUUGCCCAUUUCCAAGGCCUCCUAAAUACGUAUGAGGCCUGUGGACAACUUUCUCCUCAGCUGUUACAGCACGAAUGGUUAGAAAGAUGAACUUGGAACCUCAGACGAGAAUAUGAGAAACAUAAACAGAGACAUAUGACAACCUAAAAAAUGGAGUACAAUACCAAUAAGAAUAACGAUUA